CUUUUGCUGGCGACCGGCGCACGGGUGAGUAACACGUAUCCAACCUGCCCUUUACUCGGGGAUAGCCUUUCGAAAGAAAGAUUAAUACCCGAUAGCAUAAUGAUUCCGCAUGGUUUCAUUAUUAAAGGAUUCCGGUAAAGGAUGGGGAUGCGUUCCAUUAGGUUGUUGGUGAGGUAACGGCUCACCAAGCCUUCGAUGGAUAGGGGUUCUGAGAGGAAGGCCCCCCACAUUGGAACUGAGACACGGUCCAA
rnacentral:rRNA from 1 species